GCUUGACCUCAAAUCAGGUAGGACUACCGCGCUGAACUUAAGCAUAUCAAUAAGCGGAGGAAAAGAAACCAACAGGGAUUGCCUCAGUAACGGCGAGUGAAGCGGCAAAAGCUCAAAUUUGAAAUCUGAGGCUCUCCAGCCCCCGAGUUGUAAUUUGAAGAUGGUGUUCUGGUGCCGGCGCCCUGUCUACGUUCCUUGGAACAGGACAUCGCAGAGGGUGAGAAUCCCGUGUGGCGGGGCGGCCUGGCUCCGUGUAGAGCGCCAUCGACGAGUCGAGUUGUUG
rnacentral:rRNA from 1 species